AAAAUUAGUGUACAGCACAAAGUAAAAAUGUACAAUUUUAUGCCAGUAUAUCGAGCAAUUCACUUUCAGGCCAGCUUUGAAUGAAGAACGAUAUGUAUUUUCCACCCUCGAUUGAAUUUAGUUCAUCAGCCAAGAAAAUCCAAAAAGAAUUGUUUCCUCUCGCAACUGUGGCGCGUUCAGCUACCAUACAAACGCACAGCGUUCCCAAGAAAGGCAUGACAUUUUUCUCCUUUUUGUGCUUGAUACGACACGUGUAAGUAAUUUAUUCAGGACGAGCUGAAGAAGGAAAGAAACGUUCUAUGCAUUGUAACUUGUAACAGCAAAUGAACAGGUAUUUUUUGCGUAUUUGGCAAAAAUAGCAGACUUGGGACAUCACCCUCUACAAAUCAGUAAGUUUUUUUUUCCUCGGCAACAAGUUAAGGAGAUGACUGGUGAAUUCAGUCUCAUUACUUCAGUUUCAAAAUCAGAAACCUGUUUAAAAACCAUCUUCCUAUUUCGGCGAAAAUAAAAUUAUGGCGUGAGAUGAGUGGAGUGCUAUAAACAUGCACUUGCAUGGAUGAAGUGUACCCGGUUAUUUAACAAACUUGUUUAAUGAAACAUUGGUCUGAUAUUUUGCAUAUAUGUAAAUAAGUUCAGCAAGCUUAUUUAACAUUGUCAUUUGCUAUCGUCGUCUCUUAUUUCGAGAGCGACAAAUCUACCUGUUUGCCGUGGAAUGGGUUCAUAGAUUUUCAAAUAAAUAAAUGAAAACUGGUGUUUUAAUCUCGA